rnacentral:rRNA from 1 species
GUGGGGAAUAUUGGACAAUGGGCGAAAGCCUGAUCCAGCCAUGCCGCGUGUGUGAAGAAGGUCUUCGGAUUGUAAAGCACUUUAAGUUGGGAGGAAGGGCAGUAAGUUAAUACCUUGCUGUUUUGACGUUACCGACAGAAUAAGCACCGGCUAACUUCGUGCCAGCAGCCGCGGUAAUACGAAGGGUGCAAGCGUUAAUCGGAAUUACUGUGCGUAAAGCGCGCGUAGGUGGUUUUGUAAGUUGGAGGUGAAAUCCCCGGGCUCAACCUGGGAACUGCCUCCAAAACUGCAUGACUAGAGUACGGUAGAGGGUAGUGGAAUUUCCUGUGUAGCGGUGAAAUGCGUAGAUAUAGGAAGGAACACCAGUGGCGAAGGCGACUACCUGGACUGAUACUGACACUGAGGUGCGAAAGCGUGGGGAGCAAACAGGAUUAGAAACCCGGGUAGUCC